rnacentral:lncRNA from 1 species
AAGAUGUCAAAGACUUUGAACCAAGGUCCAACAUUUCAGCUUAUGGAGACAAUGACAUUGAUGUAAAAGAAAAGAAUGGAGCCAUUAAAGAUUUUGAACCUAGACCUAAUAUUUCAGCUUAUGGAGAAAAUGUCAUUGAUGCUGAUGAAAAGAAGAAACCAGUCAAAGAUUUUGAACCAAGACCCAAUAUUUCAGCUUAUGGAGACAAUGACAUUGAUGUUAAGGAAAAUAAGGGAGCCACCAACGAUUUUGAGCCAAGACCCAACAUUUCAGCUUAUGGAGACAAUGUCAUUGAUGAUAAUAAAAUGAAGAAACCAGUUGAAUAUUUCCAACCAAGACCAAACAUUUCAGCUUAUGGAGAAAAUGACAUUGAUGUUAAAAAAAGUAAAGAUUUUGAACCAAGACCCAACAUUUCAGCUUUUGGAGACAAUGACAUUGAUGUUAAUGAAAAGAAGGGAGAUACUAAAGAUUUCGAACCAAGACCAAAUAUUUCAGCUUAUGGAGACAAUGCCAUUGAUGAUGAUGAAAUGAAGAAACCAAUUAAAGAUUUUAAACCAAAACCAAACAUUUCGGCUUAUGGAGACAAUGUCAUUGAUGCUGAUGAAAUGAAGAAACCAGUCGAAGGUUUUGAACCAAGACCAAACAUUUCAACUUAUGGAGACAAUGUCAUUGAUGUUGAUGAAAUGAAGAAACAACAAGUCAAAGAUUUUGAACCAAGAACCAACAUUUCAGCUUAUGGAGACAAUGACAUUGAUGUUAAAGAAAAGAAGGGAGUCACCAACGAUUUUGAGCCAAGACCCAACAUUUCAGCUUAUGGAGACAAUGUCAUUGAUGCUAAUAAAAUGAAGAAACCAGUUGACGAUUUCCAACCAAGACCAACUAUUUCAGCUUAUGGAGACAAUGCCAUUGAUAAUAGUAAAACGAAUGAAGUCAUCAAAGAUUUUGAAUCAAGACCCAACAUUUCAGCUUACGGUAACAAUGAAGUUGACACUAAGAAAAAAGAAAAAGCUGCCAAAGAUUUUGAACAAAGACCCAUUAUUUCAGCUUAGGAAGACAACAUCAUUGAUGCUGAGAAAGAUGACGAGUUCACAAAGGAUUUUGAACGCAUGCCAAGAGUCACUAAAUAUGAUGCAUAACUUUAAUAAUUAAAAUAAAAUGCUAUUUCAAUUUCUGAUGUAAUACACUUAAUAAGUCAUUGCUACUUUAUGUUCAAUGAUAUUUAGUAUAUGUAUUAUGCAUUAAGCUUUUUGAAUGAAGGAACUUCUCCUUGUUUACUGAUGACAGUCAGUCAUUCACUAUUUUUAGAGUCUUUUUAUGAUAUUUUUGAGUUCACAAGCAAUCUUAAGCAACAAGAAAAGAAAGAAAAGUAAGAAAAAACUGAAGAAACUGAAAAGUGGGCAUCGUGUCACGAUUACUAAAAAGCGUGUCACGAUUUGGAACAUAGGAUGAGUUCAUUCAAGAUUGGUUAAAACGUGUCACGAUGGCUAUUUCGUGACACGAUUUUAAGAACAUGUGGCAAGAGAAAAUAUGAUCAAAAAGAGCAAAACAGGAGGUGUCAAGAAGUAAUGGAAUUAAGAAUUCCUAUUAAUUAAUGGGCUAUGUUGAUCCAAGAGGAGAAAAACGUGAUUAAUUGGAAAGGCAGCUGGGUUAGAUGAACCUAUAUAAAGAAGCAACAAGAGAGCUGCAAAUUAUCUUUCAAAAAAAAAAGAGAGAGCUGCAAAUUAUUCAAGAUGGUGACAUCACGGUUACGGCAAGAAUCACGUUUGGCACUUGUUGGAGAAGAAAAACGGGAACAAGCAUAUCACUAAGGAAGCAACAACGGCAAUUGAAAGAAAAUUGAGGAGCACUGUCGACAACGACUAAACUUUAUUGGUUUAAUUUCUUCUUUAUGUUGUUUGCUUAUUUGAUUAUGUCUAGCUAAACAUGGUUAGUCUAGGAAUGUAUAAUCCUUUACUAGUGAUAUUAGGUUAACGUGCUUAAAACCUUCAAAGAAUAUUAGCUCACCUAAGGAAUUAGGGACUGUAAUAUGAGAAGAGGGUCCUAACUCAAGGGAUGAAUUAUGACUAUUUUGUUAACUAUCGUGGAACUAGAAAAUCAUUCAUAAGAAUAGGUGCAGUAUACCCAUUUGGGGAACAUUGAUGACUCGAAAGACCUAGUCUCAUCUCUCCAUAUAUAGUUUCCAAAACUAUCUUUAUUUUCUGUUUAUUUAAUUUUAUGCAAUCAAAUCAAAUCUACAAACAAAAUAAUUUUUACAUCCUAAAUAUUUACUUUAUUGCUAAAUUGAGAUUAAUACAUUCUUCGUAGAUACGAACUUAUUUUAUUACUUCGAUGCAUGUUUAAUACACUUGCUAAAAGUCUAUCAUUUACCAAGAAUAGGAUAUAGUCUUGGUGAUUACAAGAAUGUUUCUUCGACAUUAAUAACUUCCUUGGCAGAUGUUAAAAUAUGGCGAUAUUUCCUUUAGAUCAAUCGAUCCUUCUUUUUGAAAUUAACCUGCACCGGCCCUUGUAUGUGUUUCAUGCUUCAUGUGCUUGAGCAUAUCACUCUAGUGUUUCCAGUUCCCACCAUUAAUGUCUAUCUUGUUUCCUAUUAUAUAACAACUACAAAAGAAAAAUUAUCUACAUCUAAAGGACUUUGCAUGUCAAGAAGAUACUCAAUCAUACACAAAAUUGUUAACGAAGUUUGAACAAUUUAAAAGAAAAUGUAACAAAAACGAAAAUGAAUUGAGGAAAACAUCUAGCUCGUAGGCCCACAGUUUUAAUUGCAUAUGUAUGUUACCCACGACGUAAACUUCUAUGGCUGAAGGAGUAUUUUUUUUACCAGAACUAUGGCUAAAGGUUAACGUGGGUAUGUGGCAAUUUUCUAGCAGAGCUUGUAUUAUUGCAUUAUCGUAGAACUACUAAUUUUUACUCCAAACACUCGGACAUUUUAUUGACGAGAAUUAAAAUUAGAGGUGGGAAGUUCCCGCGAGAAUGCAUAGUUUAGCUGGCAGGGACAAUACAUUAUUAUUAUAUAUAGAGAUUGAGGUUUGAAUCCCGAACACUCCACUUAUUCAUCUUAAAAAUGAAUUCUAACCAACUACAUCAAAACAACUCAAAUGACAAAGAAUGCAAGCCGUUUGCUAAUAAGUCUUAAAAUUUAUCUUUUUUUUUAAGUAAGUCUUAAAAUUUGAGCUACAACCAUUGAAAAUAAUUUAUAGCUAACAUUACUAUAUAGCGAUGAGGCUAAAUCGUUUCACUUUGAAACGAGCUUCAGCCUUAAGAUGAGAGCGGUUAGGGUUAUGUUUAUGUCAUUGAUCUUUUCCAGAUUUGAGAAACACCCCCGAGCCAAAUUUCAAGUAGGAAAAUCCAAAGUGUUAAAGUUGCUUUUGAAUAAAAUAGAUGAAAUCAUUUGGGCAUGGAGACUUAUAAAUUACCCAUAGUUCAACAAAAGCAACCUGAACCUCAAUGAGGUUACCUCAUUAUCCGUCACCGAUCAUCAACAUAGUUCUAUCAUGCUGAAUAUGCUAAGAUAAUUAUUAUUGGUCCCUUAGUAAAUGGAAACAAACUUUUUUUAAUCACCCUCUUCAUAAAUCUAAGAAUCCUUGGCUCUGUUCGGUAAAAAUAAGCUAUAAGCUAGCUGAUAGCUGAUAAGUUAGCUGAUAGCUGAUGAGUGAUAACUGAUAGCUGAUAGCUGAAAAGCUUGCUUAAUAAAAAUAAUGUGUUUGGUAAAAUUAGUUGUUGAAGUGGCUGAUAAAUAUAAAAUGACAUUUUUUUUUUUAAUAUACAUAUAAACACACAUUUUUUUGUAAUGUAUUUAUUUUUUAAUAUUUUUAAUUAUAGUUAAAUAUGUUUUUGGUCCCUAUAAAUAUUCAAAUUUUUGGUCUUAGUCUCCAUAAAAAAAUUCUUCGACCUUUAGUCCUAAAAAAAAAAUCACUGACAAUUUUGAUCUCUGCUUUAUGUAUCCCAAAAUUAAGAGAAAGGUGGAAACAAAAAGUGAGUUAGAAUAUAUAAAAUUUUACAACGUACAAAAGACUAGUUAUUUUUUCCUUUAAAAAAAAUAGGCUAGUUAUUUUUUUUGUGGUGUACGGCAGGUUAGUUAUAGCAAAAUAUAAAGCAUUUCCUUAAAAUAUAUAUAUAUAUAUAUAUAUAUAUAUAUAUAUAUAUAUAUAUAUAUAUAUAUAAAGUGCUCCUUAAAAAAAAAACUAUGUUGCAUUUUUUUUAAGGGAAAAAAUGGGGCGGUUAUAAAGAUGAACAUGAGUAGUUGUUUAAUUAAAAAAAUAAUUAAUUUAAAUUAAUAGGGUUAAAGUUGGAAGAAAAUAUAAAAAGCUACCAGCUAUAAGCUAAAAAGCUACUUGAAAUAGCUUUUCAAAAAACGCUAUAAGCUCAUGAAAAAAGCUUGUUACCAAACACGUCACGUUUUCAUCUAACGAGCUUAUAAGAUAAUCCAACAAACUAUAAGUUAACUUUUUUGUGUUACCAAACAUAACCCUUCUGUUUUUGGAGAGUAACAAUCCUAUUGUAACGUUUUUACUUGAGCGUUAAGAGAUGGAAGAACAGGGUAUUCAGAUCACCUUGGUUCCCCCUAACUUAUAGCGACACUGUCGGUAUCAGUAGUUGUCAUCAAAUUUGAUAAGCCAAGCCACCUUUAAUCCGCUCAAGUUAUUAAUCAUUCAAAGGCAUUUUCGGAAUUAAUCUUAAGCAGUUCAAGUUAGAAAUGAUUUGUUUAUUUAUGCGUUGGAGUCUAACAUGUCAAAUAUUAAAAUCACAACAUAUAAAUAAAAGCAUAAAUUUUAUUCUUAUCAAUGUUUAAUUUAAAUAUGUCUUCAAUGGCGUACCCUUCUCCCACAAAGACGCAUUUUUAGUAAUGAUGUUGAAAUCAACUUCUAUAGAUUGAGUAAACUCUGCAUUAUUUAAAAGAAAAUUUGAAACAAGAUUUUUUCAAAUUUAUGGAGUGUGCAUCACAUCCUCCUUCAGUAUUAGAGUCUUUCUGGAGAUGAACUUCAUCAUAUUAGUUUAAGUAACACAUGGAUCAAAUAAUCUUGAAACUUAAGUUGGAGUGCGCAAGCGGAUAAGGCUGGUUUUUUGUUUUGUUGCUUAAUAGCAGUUUUAGUCCCCUAACUUUUCUAAAGUUACGAUUUUGAUCCCUUAAGAAAAAGAACUACAAAACUGUCCCCUAAGUUUUGCAUAUGUGGCAGUUUUGACCCCCAAGGUCAAUUUUGACUCGGUCUACGCUCACGUGGCACCUUAAGUGAGGCGCCGCGUGUUAUUUUUCUUUACCAAAAAGUGCUAUUGGGGGGCCAAAACUGCCAGAGUUGCAAAACUUAGGGGCCGGUUUUGUAGUUUUUUUUUCUUAGGGGGCCAAUAUCGCAAAUUCGUGAAAGUUAGGGAGCGAAACUGCUAUUAAGCCUUUCUUUUAAUUGUUAGUUGGAUAAGAUUUAAACGAAACUUGUUCGUUAAGAAAAGCACUACCGGAUAAUGAUAAAAUUUAUUAAUUUAACAUUUUCGAAUGAUAAAAAAAACUUUGGCCUAAGCCCAACCCUAUGGCGUCACCGCAUAUGUGAUAUAUAUUUUCUUGAGCACUCUCGGUUCACAAAAAUGAGUAUCCAAGGCACACUCGUGAGAGUGAUUCUCCUUUUUUACUCAAAAAAAAAAAAAGAAAGAAAGAGUGAUUCUCCUUUUAAACAAACAUUAUUAAUGUGUUUCUUCUUAAAAAUUAAAAGUAAUGCACACAUUUCAAUACUUCCUCCGUCCUAAAUUAUAAGCAAAAAAAAAAAAAAUCACAUUUAUUAAGAAAACUAAAACAUAAGAAUUUGAAGUAUAAUUUUUUGUGUUUUCUUUAAAAAAAAAUUAUAGGAAGAUGUAAAAACAAUUUUCGUUGGCUAUUGGUUAUGGAAAAAGUGAAAGAGAGAGAAAAUUGAAUGUAAUUUGCGUUUAAUUUUAUGAGAAUAAACAAAAGUUUUUCUUGGGAAAAAGAUUUAAAAAAAAAGAUUAAAUAAGAUAAAAAUUUAUCUUUUUUGCUUAUAUUUUAGGACAAAGAAAAUGAGUUUUUUUGCUUAUAUUAUGAGACGGGGGGAAUAUAUGACACUUUUACCGUUUUCAAUUCACACCAUGCUAAUCCUAUCAAAUGUGAGACUUGUGUUUAUUUCAAUCUUCAUUCGUGAUUAAAUAGAAACUAACCAAUUAGAAUAUUGACAUUAGUAAGUACUCUAUGAAUACAAUAUUUAAAAGGAUACUGUUAACUUGUGCCCAUAGAGUAUAUGUUAAUAAACUUAAAAGAAGAAACUUUCUCUAAAAUUUUAUACAUUCAAUUAAUUAAAAAUUAAAAGUAAUGCACACAUUACAAUAAACUAUUUUUAUAUUUAAUUUUCCUAUUUAAAAAAGAUGCAAGAUGCACGUGAUAAGCACCAGACAAGUAUCAAUUUCAAAUCUCAAUAAUAAUCAAAGUGGAGGUGGUUUUCCUUAAAAAAAAAAAAAAAAGUAAGAGGAGGUGGUUGAAGCAAAAUUAACCCGGAUUUGCCCAGCUGUCAUUCCUAGGACGCACCUACAAUCUUAAAACCAAAAUGCUGGUCUAAUAUUAAGCAGUUAUAUUUAAAUGUUUUAAUUUUUUUACACUCAUUCAACACUUAAUUUUCAGAAUUUUUUUAUUUUUAUCUAAAAAAUUGUUUUUUGUUUAUAAGAGGGAAGAGAAAUAUAUAUUUUAAGAUAAAAGAAGAGGUAAAAGAAAAGUGUAAUUUCCUCAAAUUCUUAAUAUUAAUUUAAUAUUAAUAAUAGACACACGUGGUCACGUGCUAUCUACCAUGAUUGCUGAUUUUUUAUUUUUUUUUAGAGGAUGAUUGCUGAUCUUCUAGCUAUAAAUAGGUGAUUUAUUAGUUAUAGGAAUCAUCCACUUCCAUCGAAAUAUAAAAUCAGUGGCUUUUAAUAUCAAAGAUGAGACCUGCUCUUGCUUUAUUUCCCCUCUUGCUUUUCUUGGUAUGUUUUACUUUUCGUGGUUUCAAUUAGUAGAGUGCACUCUAAAUUCUAAUGCUUCAAAAUAAAAAAAACCUCUGAUAUUUUACAUUUAAUUGAACAAUUAUUUUCUUGUUGGAAAGUUUUUGUCUUUUCUUCCGGAUACUGAAAGUUAAUCGAUUAGUACUUCUUAGAGUAAUUUUAUGGAAAAUAUAAGUUAUUUCGUGUUUAUUUAUAUCCAUAAAAUCAUUUUUAAAUCUUCUUUAUCAUUUAUGAUUUCGUUAUAAUCACUGACGUCAAAAUUAUUGUCUGCCUUUCUGCUAUCGUAUUGCACUCAAUUGUUUGUUUAUUUCAUCUUAUUUUGUUAUUAAAUUUCAAUAAUAUAUCCCAAUCAGAUAAAGAUUUUAGGUUUAUUGAUGUGUUUAGCCCUUGCAAUUAGGCGGCAUUUAAAAAUUCGUCCCUGUAAUUGUUAAUCCUGGCAUUUUAACCCUGCAAUUGUUAAUCAUUUAAAAUUUCGUCCCUCUCCCCACUUAAUCACUGCCACGCCACAUGAAAUUCCAAAUUUACCCCUGGGUUUCCAAUUCUUUCUUCAAUAUUUUGUCCUCUUCUUAAGGGCAAAAUUGAAAUUUCAUGUGUGACAGUGAUUGCCACGUCAUCAAAUUAGUGACGUGGCAGUGAUUAAUUUGGUCCAAGGACCAAAUUUUAAACGAUUAACAAUUGCAGGGUUAAAAUGCCAGGAUUACCAAUUACAGGGACGAAUUUUUAAAUGCCGCCUAAUUGCAAGGGCUAAACACAUCAAUAAACCAAGAUUUUAUUCAUAUUGCAGUGGAAUUGCUUAUAUUAAAAUGAGAUGAGAUUUAGUUGAUUUUUUAAUUAAAAAUUUAAAUAGUAUUAUUCAAUACAAAAGAUAAACUUGUAAUUAAAAUAGUUUAACCGAAUGGUAUAAUUAGAAGAUAAAAACUCAGUCCAAAAUCUUGUACCCCCUUCACAUAGAGGUAUAGAUAGGUAUAUAUACCACAAUUAAAUAAAGAUUCAACGUGUCAUGUUUCUAUUAUAGUGAAAUUGUUCAUAUUAUACCGAGAUUUAACCAACUUUUCUAAUUAAAGGUUUAAAUAAUAUUUAAAAAAAAGUAAAAUUGUAAUAAGAAUAGUUAAUGAAGGGCACAACUGAAUGAUAAAAAGUCAUCCUAAAAUCAUAUUUCUUCUUUAUAUAUAUAUAUAUAUAUAUAUAUAUAUAUAUAUAUAUAUAUAUAUAUAUAUAUAUAUAUUGUACAACAGAAACUUGUGUUUAAAAUAAUUUUCAUUAUAAUAAGAUUUUACAUUUUUUUAAAUGUAAUUUAUUUCUUUGCUAAAAAAGUUAUUUAUUUCUCAUUAUUAACAAACUGCCAAGAUUGUGUGACACAAAUAAUAAAUAUUUUGGUCCCUUGACCAUUAGGUCCAUUGCACGGAAGAUGCCUUUUUUGAUUUACCAAAAAAUGAUUAGCAAGCUCGUUGGAAAUCCUUAAAUAUAAUUAUUUUAUAAAAAAAUCUCAAAUUAAAAAGUUCUUAUUUGAGCUAAUUAGCCAUACUUAUACGACUCACAUUGGUUAUUCACUUGAGUGAGUGUUUUUUUUCUGCAAAACAUUCAAGUGAGUGUUGGGGACCUGACCAAUAGCAAAAUAAAAAUAAAAAAACACAUAAAUAUUAUAUAAAUAUGACAUUGAUUAAUGUAAUCUUAUAAUUGAUAUUUACUAAUUCUAUUUAAAAGUUUAUUAUGUUCCAUUUAUUUCUCUUAAAAUCGCAAGCUCUCCCCCAAAAAACAUCUCCUCCACUUAAGAUCAAUCCACCUAAAUUUCUCUCCGAGAGUCAUUUUAAUCACUUUUACUUCUUAUUGAAUAGAAACCUAAAACAUCAUGAGAAAACAAAUUCUUAAAAGAAUAUCUCAAUUAAUGAUUAUUUUAAAAAUAUGUAGAUCAACCAUCUCUAAUAUUCUUGAAGUUAUUAUCGGAUAAAGAACAAUAGAUUCUGGUUGACAUGUUCCCGAUAAGAAGAUCUACUCUCAUCAGUUUGAGAAAAUGGGGCAUUCUUAAGGAACAUAAAACAAUUAUCAAUGAUUUUCCAAAUUUUAGGAUCAAUUUAUUAGGAUACAAGUUAAUAUGGUGGCUUUGCUGCUUAGAAAAGGCUUCCACAUUUUAUCUCAACUCCAACACUGCUUACGAUGUUCAAUAUGAUCUCCCUAUCCUUAAAAAAAAGAAUAUAAUAAAUAAUUAUGAGUGUUUUUUCCUUUUCGGUUAGGGAAUAAAUUUCUCUUUUAAACGAUUCUAUAUUAAAAAAGAGAGCUAUACAACUGCACAUAUAGACCAUUAUUUUUUCAUAUAUCUUAUUAAUUUCUUAUUUUGCGAUAAAGUUUGUAGCAAUUGUAGAAACAAGAAAAGAUUUGGGACAAUAUCGAAAACUAGUCAUGAAAGAUGAAGACAUGCGAAAAGAAAUUCAAGGGCUUCUUUACACCGAGACGAAAAAGAAUCUCAAGACUCCAAAGCAGUGUUUCAAAGGUUUUAAACAUGAUUGUGAAGAGCCAUUUGUAAUAGACACACAAGUCACCAUAGAAAAUGACAUCAUCCGUGCUAAGAGAAAGAAGGGAGUCACUAAAAAUUUUGAACCAAGACCAAAUGUUUCAAAAUAUGAAGAUAAUGACAUUAAUGCUGAGGAAAAGAAGAGAGUCGUCAAAGACUUUGAACCAAGACCUAAUGUUUCAGCUUAUGGAGCAAAUGAAAUUGAUGCUAAGGAUAAGAAGGGAGUUAUUGAUGAUUUUGAACCAAGACCCAAUGUUUCAGCUUAUGGAGACAAUGACGUUGAAGCUAAGAAAAAGAAGGGAAUCACUGAAGAUUUUGAACCAAGAUACAAUGUUUCAGCAUAUGGAGACAAUGGUGUAGAAGUUAAGGGAAAGAAGAAAGUCGUUAAAGAUUUCAAACCAAGACCAAAUGUUUCAGCUUAUGGAGACAAUGGUAUUGAUGUUAAGGAAAAUAAAGGAGCCAAUACGGAUUUUGAACCAAGACCAAAUUACGUUUCAGCAUAUGGAGACAAUAAUAUUGAUGUUACAGAAAAUAAAGGAGCCAAUAAAGAUUUUGAACCAAGACCCAAUGUUUCUGCUUAUGGAGAUAGU